UGUAUCAAAUGUCUGUAUCAAAUGUCUGUAUCAAAUGUCUGUAUCAAAUGUCUGCUCAAAUGUCUGUAUCAAAUGUCUGUAUCAAAUGUCUGCUCAAAUGUCUGUAUCAANNNNNNNNNNUGCCUAGCAUCGCUCCCUGGAUCCCGACGGCUGAGUGGAGAGGAUCCGAAGUCGCUGGGUCCAUUCUUGGUCGGAUUCUUCUGUUAUGGUGAGUGAAUGAGGACCCAAAAGCGAACUAACUUAAACAGAGCUUCUUUAAUAACCAAACAUAGGUAGGCUCAGAUAGACCGGCAGAUUCCGACAGGACAGGACAAGGUUACAGCAAACAUGACGAUAGUCUGGCUCAGGCAUGAAAUACAAACAAGAAUCCGACAAGGACAGGAACAGAAACAGAGAGAGAUAUAGGGACCUAAUCAGAGGGAAAAAAGGGAACAGGUGGGGAACGGGGUGAAUGGGUAGUUAGAGGAGACAAGGAACAGCUGGGAGAAAGCGGGGGAGAAAAGGUAACCUAACAACGACCAGCAGAGGGAGACAGGGUGAAGGGAAA
rnacentral:lncRNA from 13 species